rnacentral:rRNA from 1 species
GACGAACGCUGGCGGCGUGCUUAACACAUGCAAGUCGAACGGAAAGGCCCUGCUUUUGUGGGGUGCUCGAGUGGCGAACGGGUGAGUAACACGUGAGUAACCUGCCCUUGACUUUGGGAUAACUUCAGGAAACUGGGGCUAAUACCGGAUAGGAGCUCCUGCUGCAUGGUGGGGGUUGGAAAGUUUCGGCGGUUGGGGAUGGACUCGCGGCUUAUCAGCUUGUUGGUGGGGUAGUGGCUUACCAAGGCUUUGACGGGUAGCCGGCCUGAGAGGGUGACCGGCCACAUGGGGACUGAGAUACGGCCCAGACUCGUACGUGAGGCAGCAGUGGGGAAUAUUGCACAAUGGGCGGAAGCCUGAUACAGCAACGCCGCGUGCGGGAUGACGGCCUUCGGGUUGUAAACCGCUGUCGCCUGUGACGAAGCGGGAGUGACGGUAAUGGGUAAAGAAGCACCGGCUAACUACGUG